GCAGUCCGACGUGAAAGGGGAGCAAUCCCCCGGUAGGGUGGCAAACGGGUGAGUAAGACAUGGGUGAUCUGCCCUGGAGAUGGGGAUAUCCCUCCGAAAGGGGGGGCAAUACCGAAUAGUAUCCGGUUCCUUGAAGGGGGCCGGGGAAAGGGAGGCCUCUGGUACAAGCUUCCGCUCCUGGAUGAGCCCAUGGCCCAUCAGCUAGUUGGUAGGGUAAAGGCCUACCAAGGCGACGACGGGUAGCUGGUCUGAGAGGACAACCAGCCACACUGGCACUGAGACACGGGCCAGACUCCUACGGGAGGCAGCAGUGAGGAAUAUUGCGCAAUGGGGGCAACCCUGACGCAGCAACGCCGCGUGUGGGAAGAAGGCUUUCGGGUUGUAAACCACUUUUGCCCGGGACGAAAGGGGGGGCCUGAAUAAGGUCACCCGAUGACGGUACCGGGAGAAUAAGCCACGGCUAACUCUGUGCCAGCAGCCGCGGUAAGACAGAGGUGGCAAGCGUUGUUCGGAGUUACUGGGCGUAAAGAGUCUGUAGGUGGUCUGUCAAGUCUUUGGUGAAAGGCCGUGGCUUAACCAUGGGAAUGCCAAAGAGACUGGCAGACUGGAGGCUGGGAGAGGGAAGCGGAAUUUCUGGUGUAGCGGUGAAAUGCGUAGAUAUCAGAAGGAAGGCCGGUGGCGAAGGCGGCUUCCUGGAACAGACCUGACACUGAGAGACGAAAGCGUGGGGAGCAAACAGGAUUAGAUACCCUGGUA
rnacentral:rRNA from 1 species